rnacentral:rRNA from 1 species
GUGAACCUGCGGAAGGAUCAUUAAUGAAUUUUAGGACGUUCUUUUUAGAAGU